GCCUUCGUGGUGUAACUGUUAGCACACUCGGCGCGUAUUUGACAAGUCCAGGUUCGAGUCCCGGCGAGGGCA
rnacentral:tRNA from 1 species